AACGAGAGAACGUUGCCGCAGGCAACGGCCCGAAGGGCGAGGCGCUUUAGCGCCGAGUAAUCCUUCCCCCACCACCA
rnacentral:sRNA from 1 species